AGUCGCCUCCAGAUGGGAUAGCAAUUAUCUCGGGAUCAUGCAACGGCCAGGGGGCAUAUGCUUCUCCUACCACUAACAUCUUCAUCCUAUUUGAGCCAGAAUAGCUUUGGUGCCCUCUCUCGCUCAUGGUGAGGCCGUGCACGCUUUGCCAUGGUUGUGUGCUACGAAAUCUCAGACUGGAGUCGCUUCGGUCGGGCACUAUUCAGAUUAAUGUGGGAAUUUCUAGCAUAUUCCUCUUUUACAGUGACGCCAGAUUCGAAUUUGAAGGCGUACUUGCCCCUGAGCUGGCGGUGCCUGAGAACAACGACGACAAAAUUCUGGCAUCGUCUCCAAGCUCUGUCGCAAGCAACGCAGGGACGCCUCAGGCUCAAAGUCGGGUUGCUGUGCAGGCGAGCAGCAGCAGCCACUUAUGUCUCUUCCAAGAAGGGCGCCACCUUGGAGGAGCAUAACAACACCGUCUGCAGCGGCGCACGAGCCAACAAAAGGACAGGACCAUUGGAGACGACGGACACAGAGGUGCAUGCUAGGCAUGCCGAUCAUCAGACACUAGGGAGCGAUCCCACCCAUGAUGCCGCAGUACACGCAGCCGUCGCCGCCGCCACAUGCCAUGAUCUACGGGCAAGUGCCUGCUCAGCAGCGUACAAGAGAGAUCACCGCGGGACCCUACUCGCCAAGACGAUGCUUCUCUUAUCGUGCUUAUUUACUUUCCUUCUAUGUGUGACGAGAAGGAGCGGGAGAUUCAGAGGCUCAGGUUGGCAUCACUAGGUGAGUUCCCUGCUGAUUUGUCGAGCACGGGAUAUAGACUAUAGUCGGGUUCCUUCCUAACUCUGCUGGGCCUAAUGAAGAGAAAGAAUCAACUUUUGAGAUUAAUUGGCUAGAUCCAAGCAGGCAGCUGCACAACAUCGUCAAGGAGAAGAUGAGAACAAUGCGAUGUUCAAAGAAGCAGGCUCCAGUUUUGGUAAAUGAGUAGUGAUGUUGCAACCACCAAAACAAAUCUGAAAAAUAAGACAAAGACAAACAGGUUGAGAGGUUGGUUAAUGAUAUGGAAGAUCAAGUAAAAAAACGAAUUAUUGGAAGCCCCGGCAAGCAAAGUAAAGAAAACCCUACUUAACUUGAUCACAAAGGUUGGAUCGUGCAAGUACAUGUUGUAUAAGUUUACUAGGUUGGGACAGGUCGUACUGGUGGUUGCUGGCAGAAUUCUGAUGUGAUUCACAUGUUCUUCAGUUCAGAAGAUGAAACAAAAACUCUCCAAAGAGGGGAAACAAGCACAGAUAAAGCCUGAAGAGAUAUGCAAUUUGGACUUAUAGGAACUGUCACUUCAUUAUUAUAGUGGAGUUAAAGGAAAUAGGAGGCAUGAAAACAUGACGAGCAAGGAAAGAUCACUGCUACGCAAGAAAAAAUGCAAGUCCAUGUGAUUUUGCAAUAGGAGAGGCUUAGACUUUCAGGGUUUUUACUUGAAAAAUCGCAUUUGGUACUUUUGAGUAUUUUUUAUACUGUUUUGCUCAAUCAAAA